rnacentral:rRNA from 1 species
GACGAACGCCGGCGGCGUGCUUAACACAUGCAAGUCGAGCGGUAAGGCCCUUUCGGGGUACGACGAGCGGCGAACGGGUGAGUAACACGUGGGUGACCUGCCCUCCAGCUCUGGGAGUAAGCCUGGGAAACCGGGUCGUAAUAACUGGAUAUGACUCCAUGACGCAUGUUGUGGGGUGGAAAGCCUUGUGCGGCUGGGGAGUGGGCCCGCGGCCUAUCAGCUUGUUGGUGGGGUGAUGGCCUACCAAGGCGACGACGGGUAGCCGGCCUGAGAGGGCGACCGGCCACACUGGGACUGAGACACGGCCCAGACUCCUACGGGAGGCAGCAGUGGGGAAUCUUGCGCAAUGGGCGAAAGCCUGACGCAGCGACGCCGCGUGA